ensembl:lncRNA
AUGUACUCCAUCCAAUCGAGGCUAAUGUUGCUAACAGUUAAUGGAAGUGUAUGGCCUCCAUUUUAGCAUUGUUUUUAAAAUCAUUUAAAGUGUUCCUGCAGAACCUGAAGGACGCGACAUUAUAAUUCAUGAUGUGAGGCCUUUUUUUUUACUCAUUUACAUUGUAAGUAUUAGCGUCAGUAUUUAAUAGUGUGAGUAUUAGGGAGUAUUUAGCAUCGGUAUUUAAUAGUGUGAGUAUUUAGUGUCGGUAUUUAAUAGUGUGAGUAUUUAAUUGUGUGAGUAUUAAUUGUGAGUAUUUAAUAUUGUGAAAAUUUAGCGUCGUUAUUUAAUAUUGUGAGUCUUUAAUAUUGUGAGUAUUUAAUAUUGUGAGUAUUUAGCAUCGGUAUUUAAUUGUGUGAGUAUUUAUUGUCGUUAUUUAAUAGUGUGAGUAUUUAAUAUUGUGAGUAUUUAAUAUUGUGAAAAUUUAGCGUCGUUAUUUAAUAUUGUGAGUAUUUAUUGUCGUUAUUUAAUAGUGUGAGUAUUUAAUAUUGUGAGUAUUUAAUAUUGUGAGUAUUUAGCGUCAGUAUUUAAUAGUGUGAGUAUUUAAUAUUGUAUGUAUUUAGAGUCGGUAUUUAAUAUUGAGGGUAUUUAGAGUUAGUAUUUUAUGUUGAGAGUAUUUAGCAUCAGUAUUUAAUAUUGUGAGUAUUUAGCGUCGGUAUUUAAUAUUGUGAGGAUUAUGCGUCGGUAUUUAAUAUCAUGAGUAUUUACCAUUGGUGUUUAAUAGUGUGAGUAUUUAGGGUCGGUAUUUAAUAUUGUGAGUAUUUACCAUUGGUGUUUAAUAUUGUGAGUAUUUACCAUUGGUGUUUAAUAUUGUGAGUAUUAAGCGUCGGUAAUUUAAUAUUGUGAGUAUUUAGCAUUGGUAUUUAAUAUUGUGAGAAUUUAGUAUCGGUAUUUAAUAGUGUGAGUAUUUUGAGUCGGUAUUUAAUAGUGUGAGUAUUUAGCGUCUGUGUUUAAUAUUGUGUGUAUUUAGAAUCUGUAUUUAUUAGUGUAAGUAUUUAGCGUCGGUAUUAAUAGUGUGAGUAUUUAGCAUUAGUGUUUAAUAUUGUGAGUAUUUAUCAUCGGUAUUUGCUUGUGUGAGUAUUCAGCAUCUGUAUUUAAUAGUGUGAGUAUUUAGCAUCUGUAUUUAAUAGUGUGAGUAUUUAGCAUUAGUGUUUAAUAAUGUGAGUAUUUAACAUCAGUAUUUUAUAUUGUGAGUAUUUAAUGUCGGUAUUUAAUAGUGUGAGUAUUUAGCGUCUGUAUUUAAUAUUGUGAGUAUUUAGCAUCAGUAUUUAAUAUUUGAGUAUUUGGCAUCGGUAUUUCAUAGUGUGAGUAUUUAGCUUUGGUAUUUAAUAGUGUGAGUAUUUAAUAUUGUGAGUAUUUAAUAUUGUGAGUAUUUAAUAUUGUGAGUCUUUAGCAUCGGUAUUUAAUAGUAUGAGUAUUUAAUAUUGUGAGUAUUUAAUAUUUGUUUAAUAUUGUGAGUAUUUAGCGUCGGUAUUUAAUAUUGUGAGUAUUUAAUGUCGGUACUUAAUAGUGUGAGUAUUUAGCAUCAGUAUUUAAUAUUGUGAGUAUUAAUCUUUGGUAUUUAAUAUUGUGAGUAUUCAACGUCGGUAUUUAAUAUUGUGAGUAUUUAAUAUUGUGAGUAUUUAAUAUUGUGAGUAUUCAACGUUGGUAUUUAAUAUUGUGAGUAUUUAAUAUUGUGAGUAUUUAAUAUUGUGAGUAUUUAAUAUUGUGAGUAUUUAAUGUCGGUAUUUAAUAUUGAGUAUUUAAUAGUGUGAGUAUUUAAUAUUGUGAGUAUUUAAUGUCGGUAUUUAAUAUUAUGAGUAUUUAACGGAACGAGGAAUUCCUUUCAGCGUUUUAUGUUUAAAUGCUCUUGUAGUUGUCUGAGUUGCCAAACUAAAUGUUGUUGUAUUGUAUACACUGACAAUAAAGUGCCGUACCUAGUUCACUGUUUUUCAUGAGUAUUUUCAUCAUUUUCAGUUCAAACAUCAUUUAGCGUGUGUAUUUAGUGUGAGCAUGUAUAGUUUAUCAUAAGUCAUUUUGUUACUAGUACUUGCUUUAUGGUUUAUUUGUAAGUAUUGCUGUUACUUUUAUCUCUAGUUUAUCUCUUAUUGUGAGUUUAUUUGUUUUGAGUGUUAUUACUCGUUCAUCAUUUAUUGUAUUUUGAAUACUCCCUCCUCAUUAAUAGUUUAGGAUUCAUUUGUCCAUUUGUUUAUUUGUUUAUUUGUAACAAAGACUUAUUCUAUUAUUUUUUUUAAUUGAUUAUUAGCCAUACCAAGCAGUUUCCAUGAUAUUAGCUACACGUCUCUGUUACCGUUCAGCUACAUUAGCAUUUUGAGAAAAAUAAACUCUGUAUUCAUAAGCUGGAGAAACAGAAUAAUGACGCAGGUUGCUUGAUUUCCACUAACACCAACAGCGAAAUGGCUGCUGAAAUCAGGGGCUGUUUAUUUACUCUGUUACUGCCGGAGCGUCAUGGAGAAAUUCGGUGCAAAAAUCUCGCUCGUCGUGACUGGUUUUCCUCACUGCAGCCCUGCGCUGUGGCAUGUUGUGCUGAAGUCCAUAAAUAUUCAAGCAGGACUCAUCUGUGGCCUGCUGUCACUGCAGCUCUUUUGACUAACAGUCACUUUCCGUUCACGGCAGCCGUCACACACUCGGCUGUGCAAAAUCACACAGACAGGUAACGCUGCACCUGACACACACACACACACACACACACACUCCAUCACACUCCAUCACACCACCUUCCCAAUUUACACACUCCAUCCGAGAUGUGACUAACGAGCAACAGAUGGCCGUCUAUCUGUCUGUCUAUCCAUCCGUGGAUUCAAAUCAGCAAUUAAACUGUUAGAAACGUGCUAAAUUCCAAAUAAAGAGCGCGGAUUUACGUAAGUUCUGAUAAACUGUCUAUAAUAAUUAUGUAAAUGAUGUCGUAUGCAAAAUUGGAAAAGGAGCGAUUAUGUAAAUGAGGGUUUUGCGAGUGUUAACUGUUCUUGAGAGCUGUGACGAGUUUAGAUCUUGCAGAGAUGCUUAGUUUGAUUAUUUUGUUACUGCCUCAUACAUUAUUUACUGUAUUUGAGUAUUUUUCUUUACUUCCUUCUUUAACUUUCCCUACUGAAAAAAAAACAACAGAAACCAUCACAGAAAUUUGAAUGGUUUCCACUAUAAAUACCAUUACAAACCAUCAGCUAAUCAUUAAAUCCAUUACUAUUACCAUUAUUGGUCCUCUUAAUGAUAUCCACUAGACAAAACACGGAAGCAAUAAAAGGCAACAACUUACCAGUAGAGACUGACAUGGACCAUUAUAGUGUCCAUUAAAACUAAUACAAUUCCAAUUAUAACCAUUAAGACCAUUACAAAUUCUAUUAUGGUUUCUGUUGUUUAAUUCAACAGGGUUUUUUAUCAUUUAUAAUAAAGUAAGAAGAUAAAAUGAGUGUGUAGACAUGUGUAGUGUGUGUCUGGUUUACAUGAGGUCAACUGCAUGCUGUUGGUAUCAGAGGUCUGAACACGUGGCAAAUAUUAACCCAUAAUUCAUUGUGCUGUAAUACUAAUUAAUCAUUCCUAAUUACAAGAAAUCACUAUGACAUCAUUUUAAGAACUUAUUAAAGAUUAGUUUUAUUUUGAGUGGUGUAAAUAAGCUUCUACAAAUUUAAUACCUGCCCUUCAGUCAUAUUAUUUUACUUUACACACAUGAUUUCGCAUCGACUCCACCCACUAUUUUACACUUUUAGAUCGAAACACCCCAAAUUAUACAUAAUCGGGCAAGAACUUUUAUUAUAUUCGAGACUCAAUCCUCUGUAGCGCUUGUUAAUAAUUCAGCUUGGAGACUGUUUCGAUCAUUUUUAUUCAUUUUUUUUAUCAAACGCAAACCUUUUGUAGAUCAGUUCUUCAGAGUUCAGAGCGACUCGGGUUCAGACUGCUCACCUUCCCUGACUCUUAUAAAGAUCGAUGAAUUCUAAUGGCUUGAGAUUUGGUUUGUAAGC